UACAGAGGGUGCUAGCGUUAAUCGGAUUUACUGGGCGUAAAGCGUGUGUAGGCGGUUUGUUAAGUCGGGUGUGAAAUCCCUGGGCUCAACCCAGGGCCUGCAUCGGAAACUGUCGGGCUUGAGUAUGGGAGAGGUGAGUGGAAUUUCCGGUGUAGCGGUGAAAUGCGUAGAUAUCGGAAGGAACACCUGUGGCGAAAGCGGCUCACUGGACCAUUACUGACGCUGAGGCACGAAAGCUAGGGGAGCAAACAGG
rnacentral:rRNA from 1 species